GGGGCAAGCCGCCGGGGACCACUGAACUUCAUGCCUGAGAGUGAUGCAGUCUGAGUCUGAAUUAUAAAUCAGUCAAAACUUUCAACAAUGGAUCUCUUGGUUCCGGCAUCG
rnacentral:misc_RNA from 1 species